rnacentral:sRNA from 1 species
UAUCAUAUAUUUAUAAUCAACUUUACAAUAAAAGUUUUUAGUUUAACUAAAAUAUAAGCCUACCUGCUGUAUAAUGCAAGUUAAAAUUAUAAAUAAGCAGAUUACCAUCACGAUGGAUGUACCUUCUCACAUACACACCUAUCAAAAACUUAAAACUUUUCAAAACCUCUUGGUAUAUUCAAAUUAGGAUUCUUCAUUCAUGGAAUCAUUAUUCCAAGGGUUUUGGGAUGUCUUAUGAAAUGAUUUUGGCAGAAGAAGAUGUAAAUUUUUUUGAAUAAAAAGUAGUCAGCAAAACAUAUGUUUUAUUGGGAUUUUUUAGAUAAUUAAAUCAGAGAAUAGGGCUGGGCAUAUGAGUAACCCAUUGGAGUUCGGGUAGAACCCGUUCGGGUUUGGGAUUAAUGGGUAUAUGAUUUACUACCUAAUAGAAUAAUUCUAAAUAUUCGGUUCGGGUCGGGUCCAGUUGGGUUUGGGUCAGUUUGGAUAAAAAAUUUUAGGCCCUAAAAAUACUCAAAAAAAUAGAAACGGGUAUUUUGUAUGUAGAUAGUGCGUCUCCAAACAAAAAAAACUUUUAAAUUUAUUAAGUUUUAAUAAAUUUAAUUAUAUUUGAAUAUAUUUUACUAAAUUUUGACAAAUAUAACAAAUAAUUUUGACAAACAUAGCAAACAUAACAAAGUAUACAAUUUAAUUUAUACAAAAUAUUAAUGCCCGUGCUGUAUAGCACGGGUUAUGAUCUAGUUGCUUCAUAAACCAGAAACCAUUAAAUUGUAAAACAGAGUAAUUUUAAUGUUAUUU